GUUUGAUCCUGGCUCAGGAUGAACGCUAGCGGCAGGCCUAACACAUGCAAGUCGAACGGUAACAGCAGAGCUUGCUCUGGCUGACGAGUGGCGCACGGGUGCGUAACGCGUAUACAAUCUGCCUAUUACUGGGGUAUAGCCCGAAGAAAUUUGGAUUAACCCCCCAUAGUAUUGAGAUAAGGCAUCUUAUUUCAAUUAAAACCACGGUGGUAAUAGAUGAGUAUGCGUCCUAUUAGUUUGUUGGUAAGGUAACGGCUUACCAAGACUUCGAUAGGUAGGGGUCCUGAGAGGGAGAUCCCCCACACUGGUACUGAGACACGGACCAGACUCCUACGGGAGGCAGCAGUGAGGAAUAUUGGACAAUGGAGGCAACUCUGAUCCAGCCAUGCCGCGUGCAGGAAGACUGCCCUAUGGGUUGUAAACUGCUUUUAUAUAGGAAGAAACCCCUUUACGUGUAGAGGGCUGACGGUACUAUAAGAAUAAGGAUCGGCUAACUCCGUGCCAGCAGCCGCGGUAAUACGGAGGAUCCAAGCGUUAUCCGGAAUCAUUGGGUUUAAAGGGUCCGUAGGUGGACUGUUAAGUCAGAGGUGAAAUCCUGCAGCUCAACUGUAGAAUUGCCUUUGAUACUGGCGGUCUUGAAUCAUUGUGAAGUGGUUAGAAUAUGUAGUGUAGCGGUGAAAUGCAUAGAUAUUACAUAGAAUACCGAUUGCGAAGGCAGAUCACUAACAAUGUAUUGACACUGAUGGACGAAAGCGUGGGGAGCGAACAGGAUUAGAUACCCUGGUAGUCCACGCCGUAAACGAUG
rnacentral:rRNA from 1 species